GACAGAGGUCCCGAGCGUUAGGCGGAAUCACUGGGCUUAAAGCGUGUGUAGGCGGAUCGUUAAGUGCCUUGUGAAAUCCCACGGCUCAACCGUGGAACUGCUCGGCAUACUGGCGAUCUUGAGCCACCUAGGGGCAACCGGAACAAAUGGUGGAGCGGUGAAAUGCGUAGAUAUCAUUUGGAACGCCAAUGGUGAAAACAGGUUGCUGGGGGUGUGCUGACGCUGAGACACGAAAGCCAGGGGAGCAAACGGG
rnacentral:rRNA from 1 species